AUGCAAGCAUGCGACGUACCUCCCCGUCCUCCUCCUCUGCCAGCAUUAAUGGCAAACCUAACUACCUCCCCCUCCUGCGUAGACACAGCCUGUGAGCUCACCCUCUCUACGACCCCUGUCCAUAAGCGAAACGCCGUGAACCGCGGCCCUGCUCUCUGCCCUCCCUAUGAAAGCCCUACCCCAAACCCACUCGAGAGCUCGCCGCUCACCUCUUCGCCCUCAUCCACGCUCCCCGAGCCAAGUCCCAUCGCCGCGGCGCCAGUACAUGCUCCCUCCUACCGCGACGUGCUGCUCUCUCCCCAAAAAAUGCAGCGGUGCCCCGCUCCCAGCCCUCGCUCGCCCGCUGCGCCAUCCGCUCCCCCGCCUCUUUAUCAGCGACCUCACCUCACCACUCCCCCCCACAUCCGUUCUAGACCUUUGUGUUUUCGUUGCCUUGCUCCAGACCACCUAGUCCAAGCUUGUCGUGAUCCCAUCCGCUGCUCUCGCUGUGGUGGUUCUGGCCAUCGUAGCUACCAGUGCACCUCCAACCUCCCCCUAGCCCUCCAACGCCUUCGUCUCCUCCACCGAAACCCUCCCAUGGCUGACGACAACCCCAACGUCCUCGUCAUCGGCUCCCACCGCCUCACCCUGCUGCACCCCCUCACCACCUCGCCGCGUUCGCCUCGCUCUGCCUCGUCGGACAACGACUCUGCUCCCCUGUCCCAGCGUGGAUCCUCCGGCAUCCGCGGGCCAGUCCGCCCGCCUUCAUCUGCUUCGUCCCCGGCCUUCUCUCCUGGCCGCGCGCACUCUACGUAUCCGGACAUCUUCGUCCCCACCAGCCUCCUCCACGACGUUGGGCUCUUCUGCUUCGCCCACCUAGACCACGUCAUGGCGGAGCCGUACGACCUCAUCCACCACGCCGUCAAGUUCUACGCCGGCUUACAUCCUUUUCCUUUGCGGCUACGACGGGGUGUGCGGCCCUUCUCGUCUUUGACUCCAACGAGGACCGUGAGCUGA
rnacentral:rRNA from 1 species